UGCCAACUUCCCUUUGCCAAUCUCUCAAACCCAUGGUGAUCAUUUGCAUUCUCUGUCCUCACCAGCCAUCUUGCUGUUCCCAUCUGCAUUUUGAAGCCAAACCCCCUGUGACCUGGGGCAGAAGAUCAUGACUGAUCAGUGGUGGCUUCCCAGGAUGAGACACAUCCCUAAGGUCAACAUCUGCACACAAGCAGCAACAUGGCGGUUCCCUCAACCACCAGCAAUGCCUUGUCCCAGCCAGGGGAGCCAAGCACCGGAAUACACCAGGAAUGCUGCAGACACCUCAGAACUCUCUGUCUUCUAAAUGAAGAAUGAGCUUUUCUUCCG
ensembl:lncRNA